AUUCUCUUUGUUGGCCCAAAUAUAGAUACCAGCGCUUCAUAUCCACUUAUCAGUUUGAAUUUAUUCCUGUACAGGUAUUGAUAAAAAAAGUUUACUCCCCGGUCGGUAGCUGGGUGGUUCGACGAGUGUGGUUUGUUCAUCCAGUCAAUCCGCCGUUAAGUGAGUCGAUGGUUCAAGCCUCAGGCUGAACGCUCCAUUUUCUCUUGAUAUCGUCCAACCCGAGUUAGGAAUCACACGUUAUAAGAGAAUUUGGAGAGAAAAUGUACUGAUUUUGGCUUUUGGACAAUUGAAGGAAUUCAUGAGAUCAUAUUUAUCAGAGUAAAUGUUACAUAUCACAUAAUUUUUUAAAAUUUCCCAUGGAAUUAAUGGAAGUGACCGCCAUUAAUUUCGAAAUGAGCCAUUUCCUACCUGCUGUCAAACACGUAAUGAUUGGUAUAAUAAAAUGGAGGGAGUAGGAAAAAUAGGUUUUAUUUUCCCUGACAUGUGCUAUUUUCCAACCUGAUUGAAAUGAAGAUGACAUGCUGAAUUAGUAAACACCAAUUUGAACACUGCUAACCUCACUAACAACCAGGAAUCAGUCUUGCAUGGACAGUUGUAUGUUUAGACCAAUAAGAAGUGGUGGCAUUCCAGAUGUGUCUGCUACAGAAGCGGGUUAUAGAUAAAUUUGAGUGGGAGCACUCUGAAACUUUCAUUGAAUGCAGCUUGCCUUUACAUACCCAUAAAAAUAGCAGUUCGAAAUACAUUGACAAACAAAUGGUAAGAUUCCAAAAUUUUUUUCUUUGAUUAUGUACAAUGCCAUUUUCAAUAGUUCAUUGGCAUAAUUUUCGACUUCAGACUAGAAAUGUAUAUAAACUCACACAAAUAAGAUUGAGUAAUUUCUCCGUUUUAACUAUGUUUGGUUUUUUCCAUGUGUUUAAACUUCAUGAGUGUUCUUAUAGUAUAAAGAAAAACCUCAAUUUCCUUGUUGGUUUCAUAUUUCAUUAGUAAGUACUACUUUUCACUUGUUUUGCAAUUGUUAUUAUAUCAUAUCUCAUUGUACUAUAGAAUUCCCGAAUAACAGCCAAUAAAGUCUCGAAAGCUUGAAUAGAAAAUAUUUCUUUUUUUUUGUCUCCGAUCUUACGCUGUUUCUCAAGUCAGCCAAUCAAGCUAACCUCUCCACUCUAUAUAUUUGGGUAAUUUCC